rnacentral:lncRNA from 1 species
GAAAAUUAUAUAUUAUUAUUAAUUAAAAUGACAGUAAUAAUCAUUAUACAACUGUCGGGAUUCAAACUUUGCCCUUAAGAUUACAAAGUCAAAUUCUUAUCGCUAGACACUUCAUGCAUGGACAAAAUGAUGGAUGAGAGGUGUAACACAAAAACUUCUAUGAAGGUACUUAUCCUAAUAUAUAUUUAUGCUUCUAAUNNNNNN